AUUGAACGCUGGCGGCAGGCCUAACACAUGCAAGUCGAGCGGAGCGACGGGCGGGCGAGUAAUGCCUAGGAAUCUGCCUGGUAGUGGGGGAUGACGUACGGCUACGGACGCUAAUACCGCAUACUAUCAGAUGAGCCUAGGUGGGAUUGGCUAGUUGGUGGGGUAAAGGCCUACCAAGGCGACGAUCCGUAACUGGUCUGAGAGGAUGAUCAGUCACACUGGAACUGAGACACGGUCCAGACUCCUACGGGAGGCAGCAGUGGGGAAUAUUGGACAAUGGGCGAAAGCCUGAUGCAGCCAUGCCGCGUGUGUGAAGAAGGCCUUCGGAUUGUAAAGCACUUUAAGCGGGGAGGCGUUACCAACAGAAGAAGCACCGGCUAACUCCGUGCCAGCAGCCGCGGUAAUAC
rnacentral:rRNA from 1 species